rnacentral:lncRNA from 1 species
CUGAUCCUUACAGGUGACAUGUUGAAGAAAGAAGGCAUCUAUCCUUGUAGUCCAGUAAUAUCUGUCCAGUGCAUUCUUCUCAGGUUCAUCCCUCUGUUCUAAGCCCUGUUGAUAUUUUCCCUUUGUUGUUUUCUGUCAAUUUCUAUGGGAGCCUAACUUUUGCCUGCUAUGAUAUGCACAGACAGAUUGCAUGUGAUGACAAACUUCUAAUGAGCUGCAUUAAACUUUUUCAUCAAAUGUAUUCACUAUGGAUUUCCAGUGCUCAAUUGAGAUAUGUAAGUUAACUGAGAAUUCUUAAAUACAAUAUUCUUCUAUAAUACAUACUUCAUAUUUUAUGUCUCUUCUAACUCCUUUUGAAACCAUGUAGGGAUAAAUUAUCAAACUGAGAGGGAAAAUUAGUACUUGUUCAAGAAUUUUUAAAACUGUAUUUUUAUCCUAUCUCUGCUACCACCUCUCUGGCUAGUCUUGGGACAGGGAACUUUGACUUCUUGAUAUCUAAUUUCCUCAUCUGUAAUAUUAAGAAUAACUGACACAAUAAACUGUGCAAUUUAAAGUCUAAUUUGAUAAGUUUUGACAUAUGUAUUCAACUGUGAACUGUCGCUACCAUAGUUCAAAAUAGUGAACUAUUCCCCAAAGGUUUUUUUUGUGCCGCUUUGUAUUUCCUUCUUCCUGUCUCUUGGCCCUCCCAGUCCUCUCCUGUCUUCCAGUAACCACUGAUGUGCUUUCAGUCACUACAGAUUAGUUUGCAUCUUCCAGAGAAAAACACAUUUUAAGCUCACUAGUUUGAGACUAAAAUGAGGUAUAGAAUAACUUUAAUUAUUUUUAAAUAUUAAACUUUUGUUUUUUGACAUUCCCC